UACAGAGGAGCCAAGCGUUGUCCGGAUUGACUGGGCGUAAAGCGCACGCAGGCGGGGUUGUGCGCGUGGGGUGUGAAAUCUGGCCGCUUAACGGCCAGGCGCCAAUCCCAUACGGCACGCCUGGAGUGAUGCAGAGGUCGAAUGGAAUUGCCGGUGUAGUGGUGAAAUGCGUAGAGAUCGGCAGGAACACCCAGGGGGAAACCAGUCGACUGGGCAUCUACUGACGCUGAGGUGGCGAGAGCGUGGGGAGCGAACCGG
rnacentral:rRNA from 1 species